UACCUGGUUGAUCCUGCCAGUAGUCAUAUGCUUGUCUCAAAGAUUAAGCCAUGCAAGUCUAAGUACGAGCUCUCGUACAGUGAAACUGCGAAUGGCUCAUUAAAUCAGUUAUGGUUCAUUUGAUCGUACAGUUUACUUGGAUAACUGUGGUAAUUCUAGAGCUAAUACAUGCGAGAAGCGCCGACCUCGCGGGAGGCGUGCAUUUAUCAGACCAAAAUCCGGCCGCGUCUUCGGGCGCGUUCGCCUUGGUGACUCUGGAUAAC
rnacentral:ncRNA from 1 species